rnacentral:rRNA from 1 species
AUGGCGACGGACGCCACCGCAGCCGCGGCAGCAGCAGCGGCGGCCGCAGCCCAGGACGCCGACGCGGUGGAGACGGGCAACCUCCUCCGGCGCCGCAACGUCAGGAGCAAUGACGACGGGGAGGCGGAGGAGGAGGCAUCCGUGGAGCGGGCGUUCUUGGAGAAGCCGGUGCCGACGUGGCGGGAGCAGCUGACGGUGCGCGCCUUCGUGGUGGGGUUCCUCGUCGCCGUCAUGUUCAGCAUCAUCGUGAUGAAGCUCGGCCUCACCACCGGCAUCAUCCCGUCGCUCAACGUCUCGGCCAGCCUCCUCGGCUUCUUCCUCGUCCGCCUCUGGACGUCGGCCAUCGAGAGGAUGGGGUUCCUCAAGCAGCCCUUCACGCGCCAGGAGAACACCGUCAUCCAGACCUGCGUCGUCUCCGCCUACGGCAUCGCCUUCAGCGGUGGGUUUGGCAGUUACCUGUUUGCUCUGAGCGAGACCAUAGCUAAGCAAGCAACAGAGGCUAACGAUGCUCUGAACAUCAAGAAUCCCCAUCUCGGAUGGAUAAUAGGAUUCCUGUUCCUCGUCAGCUUUGUCGGGCUUUUUGCGCUAGUGCCCAUGAGAAAGACUAUGAUUGUGGACUACAAGCUGACAUAUCCGAGUGGCACCGCAACUGCUUACCUUAUCAAUGGAUUCCACACACCCCAGGGCGCCGAGCUUGCAAAGAAGCAAGUUCGUACAUUGGGUAAGUACUUCUCGAUGAGCUUCGUUUGGGCCUUCUUCCAAUGGUUCUACACUGCUGGGAAUGACUGUGGAUUCAGUUCCUUCCCAUCACUUGGCCUUGAAGCUUACAAGAACAGGUUCUAUUUUGAUUUCUCGGCUACUUACGUUGGUGUGGGAAUGAUCUGCCCCUACAUUGUCAAUGUAUCUCUUCUGAUUGGAGGCGUCUUGUCGUGGGGCAUAAUGUGGCCACUCAUAAGCAGCAAGAAAGGAAGUUGGUAUCCUGACUCUCUUCCAGAGAGCAGUCUACAUGGACUGCAGGCUUACAGGGUGUUCAUAACCAUAGCAGUAAUCCUUGGGGACGGCCUGUAUAACUUCCUGAAGGUAUUUGGCAAAACAGUGAAGGCUUUCUACGAGAUGUAUAAGGAGAAGAAAUCGAAAUCACUUCCUGUCUCUAACAUCGGAAUUCCUGUCGCUGCCGUGGAAGCUGAGUCUUUUGAUGACAAACGCCGCAAUGAACUAUUCCUGAAGGAUCAAAUUCCCAAGAGAGUUGCAAUUGGGGGUUAUGUCAUUAUUGCAGCAAUAACGACUGGUUGCCUUCCGCUCAUCAUCCCACAGCUCAAGUGGUACCACAUUUUGGUUGCAUAUGUCUUUGCGCCUAUCCUGGCCUUCUGCAAUGCCUAUGGAUGUGGCCUGACCGACUGGUCCCUGGCCAGCACCUAUGGUAAGCUUGGGAUCUUUGUGUUCGGUGCUUGGGCAGGCGCUUCGCACGGUGGCGUGCUCGUCGGGCUGGCCGCUUGCGGUGUGAUGAUGAACAUUGUGGGAACAGCUGCUGACCUGAUGCAAGACUUCAAAACCGGGUACUUGACUUUAGCCUCACCAAGGUCCAUGUUCAUCAGCCAGGUGGCAGGCACUGCCAUGGGCUGUGUUAUCGCCCCCUGCGUCUUCUGGCUCUUCUACAAGUCCUUCGACAUUGGCGUCAGCGAUAGCGCUUACCCAGCACCUUAUGCCAUCAUGUACCGCAACAUGGCGAUCCUGGGUGUCGAUGGCCUGUCCGUUCUCCCGAAGAACUGCCUCAUGCUAUGCUACAUUUUCUUUGCUGCUGCAUUCGCCGUCAAUCUCCUGAAAGACUGUGUGCCCGCGAAGGUGGCGAAGUUCGUCCCGAUCCCCAUGGCGGUCGCGAUCCCGUUCUACCUUGGACCAUACUUCGCCAUGGACAUGUGCAUCGGCAGUGUGAUACUCUUUUGCUGGGAAUGGAUGAACAAGGCUGAGGCGCAGGCGUUCGCACCGGCAGUUGCAUCUGGCUUGAUGUGCGGCGACGGGAUCUGGGCCCUGCCGCAGGCCUUUCUUUCUCUUGCCAACGUGAACCCUCCAAUCUGCAUGAAGUUCUUGUCAAGGGCCACCAAUGCCAAAGUGGAUGCAUUCCUCGGGAACUAG